CCAAUAGCGUAUAUUAAAGUUGCUGCAGUUAAAAAGCUCGUAGUUGAAUUUCGGGAUCAAUUUGUCGGUCGUGCCUCGGUACGUACUGGUUUAUUGGUUUCUCCCUUCUGACGAACCAUGAUGUCAUUUAUUUGGUGUUGUGGGAAAUCAGGACUGUUACUUUGAAAAAAUUAGAGUGUUUAAAGCAGGCUCACGCUUGAAUACAUUAGCAUGGAAUAAUGAAAUAGGACGUUUGAUUCUAUUUUGUUGGUUUCUAGGAUCGACGUAAUGAUUAAUAGGGAUAGUUGGGGGCAUUAGUAUUCAAUUGUCAGAGGUGAAAUUCUUGGAUUUAUUGAAGACUAACUACUGCGAAAGCAUUUGCCAAGGAUGUUUUCAUUAAUCAAGAACGAAAGUUAGGGGAUCGAAGACGAUCAGAUACCGUCGUAGUCUUAACCAUAAACUAUGCCGACUAGGGAUCGGAUGAUGUUAAUUUUUUAAUGACUCAUUCGGCGCCUUACG
rnacentral:rRNA from 1 species